AACGAACGCUGGCGGCAUGCCUAACACAUGCAAGUCGAACGAGAUCUUCGGGUCUAGUGGCGCACGGGUGCGUAACGCGUGGGAAUCUGCCCUUUGGUUCGGAAUAACAGUUGGAAACGACUGCUAAUACCGGACGAUGACGAAAGUCCAAAGAUUUAUCGCCAGAGGAUGAGCCCGCGUAGGAUUAGCUAGUUGGUGUGGUAAAGGCGCACCAAGGCGACGAUCCUUAGCUGGUCUGAGAGGAUGAUCAGCCACACUGGGACUGAGACACGGCCCAGACUCCUACGGGAGGCAGCAGUGGGGAAUAUUGGACAAUGGGCGAAAGCCUGAUCCAGCAAUGCCGCGUGAGUGAUGAAGGCCUUAGGGUUGUAAAGCUCUUCUACCCGGGAUGAUAAUGACAGUACCGGGAGAAUAAGCUCCGGCUAACUCCGUGCCAGCCGCCGCUGUAA
rnacentral:rRNA from 1 species